AAAUGAGUAUAUGUGGCUAUAUUUUGUGAAUGCAUUGGGAAAUUUAUGUAAGUUGUUUUACUAUGCAGGCUGGAUAAAUAAAUAAAAGCCACGUUAUACUAUCAAAAUUUUAUUAAAAUUGGUGGAUUAGUCACUACAGUGACGGGUUUCCGUGGACUGCCUAUUAGAGGGGCACGGUAAACCCAGUUAUAUAGUUACUCCGGUUGUAGAGGCGAGGAGGGUAACUCUUGGGGUAGUAUUAGAGCUCACUUCACGUCGAACCCCCACGUGAAUGUGUAACUCGGCCAACGCCAAGGAACGGCUGGUUUUUAAAAAUAAAAAUGUGUUUCACGUGUGAAUAUUUUAACACCCUUGGCGGAUUCGGUUAGAUGCCUCGGCCAAGGUAUCUCGGAGGAUUAGUUUUGGCUUGAGCCUUGUUUUAAUAAAAGACAUAAGCCUUAACAAUUGUUUUGGUAAAUUACAAAUAUUUUAUGGUUUAAUAAAUAAAUUGAAAACAUUAU
rnacentral:lncRNA from 1 species